AUUGAACGCUGGCGGCAGGCCUAACACAUGCAAGUCGAGCGGAUGAGUGGAGCUUGCUCCAUGAUUCAGCGGCGGACGGGUGAGUAAUGCCUAGGAAUCUGCCUGGUAGUGGGGGACAACGUUUCGAAAGGAACGCUAAUACCGCAUACGUCCUACGGGAGAAAGCAGGGGACCUUCGGGCCUUGCGCUAUCAGAUGAGCCUAGGUCGGAUUAGCUAGUUGGUGAGGUAAAGGCUCACCAAGGCGACGAUCCGUAACCGGUCUGAGAGGAUGAUCAGUCACACUGGAACUGAGACACGGUCCAGACUCCUACGGGAGGCAGCAGUGGGGAAUAUUGGACAAUGGGCGAAAGCCUGAUCCAGCCAUGCCGCGUGUGUGAAGAAGGUCUUCGGAUUGUAAAGCACUUUAAGUUGGGAGGAAGGGCGGUAAGUUAAUACCUUGCUGUUUUGACGUUACCGACAGAAUAAGCACCGGCUAACUUCGUGCCAGCCGCCGCCGUAAUAC
rnacentral:rRNA from 1 species